rnacentral:rRNA from 1 species
CCUACGGGUGGCAGCAGUGAGGAAUAUUGGUCAAUGGCCGUAAGGCUGAACCAGCCAAGUCGCGUGAAGGACGAAGGAUCUAUGGUUUGUAAACUUCUUUUAUAGGGGAAUAAAGGUAUCCACGUGUGGCUUUUUGCAUGUACCCUAUGAAUAAGCAUCGGCUAACUCCGUGCCAGCAGCCGCGGUAAUACGGAGGAUGCGAGCGUUAUCCGGAUUUAUUGGGUUUAAAGGGUGCGUAGGUUGUUUUUUAAGUCAGCGGUGAAAGUUUGUGGCUCAACCAUAAAAUUGCCGUUGAAACUGGAAGACUUGAGUGUGUUUGAGGUAGGCGGAAUGCGUGGUGUAGCGGUGAAAUGCAUAGAUAUCACGCAGAACUCCGAUUGCGAAGGCAGCUUACUAAGCCAUAACUGACACUGAAGCACGAGAGCGUGGGGAGCAAACAGGAUUAGAUACCCGAGUAGUC